rnacentral:rRNA from 1 species
GACGAACCCGUGCGAACGUUGUUCGGAAUCACUGGGCUUAAAGGGCGCGUAGGCGGCUCGCCAAGUCGGGGGUGAAAUCCGGCAGCUUAACUGUCGAAGUGCCUUCGAUACUGGCAAGCUCGAGGGAGGUAGGGGUCUGUGGAACUUCUGGUGGAGCGGUGAAAUGCGUUGAUAUCAGAAGGAACGCCGGUGGCGAAAGCGACGGACUGGAUCUUUUCUGACGCUGAGGCGCGAAAGCUAGGGGAGCGAACGGGAUUAGAACU